rnacentral:rRNA from 1 species
AGGGCACCACCAGGAGUGGAGCCUGCGGCUUAAUUUGACUCAACACGGGAAAACUCACCCGGCCCGGACACCGUAAGGAUUGACAGAUUGAGAGCUCUUUCUUGAUUCGGUGGUUGGUGGUGCAUGGCCGUUCUUAGUUGGUGGAGCGAUUUGUCUGGUUUAUUCCGAUAACGAACGAGACUCUGGCCUACUAAAUAGUGACAGGAUUAUUACUGUCUUGGAUACUUCUUAGAGGGACAAGUGGUUUUCAGCCACACGAAAUUGGGCAAUAACAGGUCUGUGAUGCCCUUAGAUGUCCGGGGCUGCACGCGCGCUACACUGAAGGAAUCGGCGUGCUAAAACCAUUGUCGAAAGGCAUUGGUAAACCCAUUAAAAUCCUGCGUGAUUGGGAUCGGGAAUUGCAAUUAUUUCCCUUGAGCGAGGAAUUCCCAGUAAGUGUGGGUCAUAAGCUCGCGUUGAUUACGUCCCUGCCCUUUGUACACACCGCCCGUCGCUGCCCGGGACUGAGCCGUUUCGAGA